rnacentral:ncRNA from 1 species
UUAAAUCGUGCCACCUCAGGUGCCCUGAAUAUAUUCAGGGAUAAUCGGGAAGUCCGGUGAGAGUCCGGCGCUGACCCGCAACCGUGAGCGGGGACGAAAGCUGCACGAUGCCACUGUUGGGCACAGCCCAAUGGGAAGGCGCAGUGAGUAGGAUGAUCCGCAAGCCGGGAGACCGGCCUGGGGGAGGAGAACUCG